rnacentral:tRNA from 1 species
CCUUCGAUAGCUCAGUUGGCAGAGCGGAGGACUGUAGGUGUUACAACGGUGAUCCUUAGGUCGCUGGUUCAAAUCCGGCUCGAGGGA